rnacentral:rRNA from 1 species
CCUACGGGUGGCAGCAGUGGGGAAUAUUGCUCAAUGGGCGAAACCCUGAAGCAGCCACGCCGCGUGGAGGAUGAAGGUCUUCGGAUUGUAAACCCCUUUUGGUAGAGAAGAAAAUGCAGGUAUCUAACGCAUAAUCAAUGGCCAUUACCGGGCCAGCAGCCGCGGUAACACGGCGGGUGCAAGCGUUACUCGGAAUCACUGGGCGUAAAGAGCGCGUAGGUGGGAUGUCAAGUCAGAUGUGAAAUCCUAUGGCUUAAUCAUAGAACUGCAUUUGAAACUGGCAUUCUAGAGUAUGGGAGAGGUAGGUGGAAUUCGUGGUGUAGGGGUGAAAUGCGUAGAGAUCAGGAGGAAUACUGAUUGCGAAGGCGACCUGCUAGAACAUAACUGACGCUGAUGCGCGAAAGCGUGGGGAGCAAACAGGAUUAGAUACCCUGGUAGUC